AUUUUCUUUUUCUCUUAUCUUUCUUUUAUUGUAAACAGAUUGUGAUCCAGAAGGUGUUUCCAUUAUAGACAACCUAAAAUUGUUGUUUACUCGUCUAUCGGUGUAUUUGGUCCUCUUUCGGAUGUCAGAUCGGAUCAAAAAGCUAGCAAACGCUUAAGGAGUUUCACUGUUAACACCAACACCAAGAGUAACAGUUAUCAUUUAGUCAUCCCCAACAGAAAGGCAACACCAUAAAUUAUAAUCUAUUUUCCUCGUCAGUAUUUACUUUCUUCUGACAGUCUAUCUGCAAUCAUCACCAACCACUCAAAUACUCAAACCUCACCAAGCUGUUUUUUGUCAUUCUCUGUCAUUGAAGUCUCAGACUGAGACUUGAAGGCAAAAAAGUGAUUUAAGUAAUGAUUGGAAGACUUUUUUUUGGUUUUGUUACUGGAACUUAUUUCGGUGUUUAUCUUGACCAAAACUAUUCAAUCCCCAAAGUUGACGAACCAAGGGAAUUGUGGAGCAAAAUACAAGAGUUUAUGGAGCAAUAUCGUAAAAAGAAAGAUUAAAUUGUGCCUUUUCAACCUUUAUUUCUUUUAUUCUUUCUUUAUCACUUGCAAGUAUGUAUUUCUCUCUGAAUUUGGCAAGUAUCACACUGAACAUAGCAACACCAAUGAAAUCGACAUCUACAUCGCUCAUCUACCAUGGCAGUAUGUGUGUCAUAGCCUCGACCACAACACAUGGAUUCACAGCCAUCUGAUCCUCUUGAGGUUCUAUUACAAACUCUUCCCUGGGUUCCAAAUGUACCACCUUUAUCCAUACAAAAAUCAGGAGAACUGUCAACAUGGACCAAAUCCUCCGCUGUAGGUAAUUUUUGGCGUUUAUUGCGGACCUGAAGUUUACCUCUUUUAUUGAUUUUCACUUCUGUUGAUUUUUCGUACUUGUCCUUUAGGUAAUCACCAACCUGCCAUAUUCAAAAAAAACACAAAAGGAACAAAAAUUAAUCAUUAAUUAAUGAGUAUUUAGAUUGAUUUAAAAUUCCCUUGUAUAAAUGUAGAAAUGUAAGUUAAAGCUUAUCCAUGUAAGAUAUUGGGUUCAUUGCUUUGAUUCCGUCUCCUCUUCAUAUUCACCUUACCUCCAAAUUCCAAUUUUUACAUGAUAAAAAUUGUACAGAACAAGUAAAGUAACAAAAAAACCUACACCUUAAUGCAACUACUUUUUCAGAUUGAAGAUUAUUAAUGUAAAUGCCUUUGAUAUCAAAAGAAGAUUAACAUCCAAUCCGAUUUGGUUCCAUUAUCAUAGGAUUUUCCAUUUCUUUUGAAACAUUUUCAUCUCAAUUGUCUUCCCUCUAAUUCCUUUUAUUUUACCAUCUACAUUAUCAUUAUUGGCAUUAUUUUUUACGAUCAAAUCUACAAUGGGGCAACAACAAGAAACAACCAUAAAACUGACCAAUGGCCAUGGACAAGAUAAAACAUUACAAUGGAUUUAAUGUCGUCAGGAUUAGAUUCUAAUGGGUGGUCAUUUCUUCUAAAAUCUGCUCACUGUUUCCUGCAUCUUCAUCAUCUUCAUCUCUUUCCAGUUGUUGUCAAAAUGAUUGGAUUCGGUCCUUUAAAGCUAACCUAAUGUUUAAGGUGGUCAGUUUUUGUCUACUUUUGUCAUUGGCUCCAAAGGUUCAUUUACACCACUUAAAUGACCAUGAUCAUCACUAUUAUCAUUAUCACCAUCAGAGUUGAUCAUCAAAUUUCAUCCUCAUCGUCUUCAAAUCUUAGUAAUCAUCACAGUGAAUAUCAAUUGUUGAACCAAGAAGAAGAAACAAAAUAAUGAACCAAAUAUUAAAGAUACACUAUAAUGAUUGAUGAUUGAAA